rnacentral:rRNA from 1 species
UACGUAGGGUGCAAGCGUUGUCCGGAAUUAUUGGGCGUAAAGAGCUCGUAGGCGGCUCGGUAAGUCGGAUGUGAAAACUCGGGGCUCAACCCCGAGACGCCAUCCGAUACUGCUGUGGCUUGAGUCUGGUAGGGGAGAACGGAAUUCCUGGUGUAGCGGUGAAAUGCGCAGAUAUCAGGAGGAACACCGGUGGCGAAGGCGGCGACCUGGUCCAUUACUGACGCUGAGGCGCGACAGCGUGGGGAGCAAACAGG